rnacentral:lncRNA from 1 species
AUGAAAGUUUCAAAAUGGAAGUUAGGAAUUCUUUGUUUUAUAAGUGGAUGUGUAAUGUCUGGUCAGGUGGAUGCUUGUAUUCCUGAUAGAGUUCCAAUGGGACUCUUAAUCACAGAUUGCCCUUAUCCACAACUGAAAACUCUUGAGAUGCAGAGGACUCUUGCCCUAAAAAUCAUUCUUUCCUUUUCUUUUUUUCUACCCACAGAAGCCCCAAGACAGCAACCUGCUGAACCUGAACCAGCCCCAAGGCAACAAACUAGGAAAAGUAAAGACGCAGAAGAGCCAGGCGACCCACCUGAAGGAGAACCAGGCGAACCACCUGAAGGAGAACCAGGUCCACCACCUGAAGGAAGGAGCCAUCUCAGACCUAGCCACAAGCCUACUCACGCCAAUAUCUUCAAGGAGAGAAGAGAAGAAGAAAUAGGUAGUUUGGAAAGAUAUUUCUAUUGUUUACAGAUGUGCUGAGAUCAGGAUGAACAUAAUAACAUCUAAUUUUUCCACCCAUUUUAUAUUUCGGUCCUUCAUUACUCUCAUAUCUUCUACUUACACUUAUGAAAGCUUUGAAAUGUAUGGAUGAUUUUGUGAGUGAAUAUGAACCUCUGGCCAAGUGGGAUACUUGUAUUCUUCAAGUAAUUCUGCUGGGUCCUUCAAUCACAUAUUACUUUAUCCACCUCUGAAACCUCUUGAGAUUCAGA